ensembl:lincRNA
AUGCCAACAGAGGUAGCUGUGUCUCGCCCAGGGGCCCGGCCCACUCUGAAUACCCCCAAAAAGGAGAAAAGAAAACACAAAGUAAACCAACAAAAUAAAACCAAAAGGAAGAAGAAAUUCAGAUCAUUUUCUUCAAGCCUGGCGGGAACCCACAACAGUUUGUGUGUAACAGUUUGUGUGUUACAGUGGGGAGAAGCCAGGGCCCAGAAGGCGGCCAGCCCGCCAGCUCCCUGCAGAUGGCGCCGGCGCUACUGCUGCUUGUCUCUCCAGCAGGAAGGGCACCGGUGCCCCUCGAUCCCUCCCCUUCCCCAGUGCGCUGGGGGCUGUUCCUUUACAACAUGGAAGAUGGGGCAGAAGGAAGGAGAGGGUCUCUCAGGCCCCAGGGGAGAAGCUGGGCAAGGGAAAAUGAGGAAGGGCACUGCCAAGGCCACUGGAGAGAGCAGCCCACGGCAGCCACAGUGCUCAGGCAAACCCUGGCGGACAAAAGAUAUGGCCAGGAGGUAGAUGAGCCAGAGGAUAGGACACGGUCUCAGAAUCCCACCCUCCUUAAUGCCCUAAUGCCACAGAAGCUACUCUUCCAUCUUAACCCCCAAAUUCCAUCUUUUGUGUGUGGUGGUGGGGGGGAAUGGGUAAAAUAUACACAACUUAAAAUUUACGGUUUUAACCAUCUUUAAGUAUAUAAUUCAGUCACAUUAAGUACACUCCCAAUGUUGUGACCAUCACUACUAUUUCCAGAACUUUUUCAUCAUCCCAAACAACUCUAUACGUGCCAAACACUAACUGCCCAUUCCCUCCCUGCACUCCCUCCAGCUCCUGGAAAACUCUAUUCUACUUUUUGUCUCCAGGAAUUUGCCUAUUCUAUUUGAAUUAGUGUUUUUAUUUUCUUUGGGUAAAUACCCAGUAGAGCAAUUACUGGAUCAUAUGGUAAUUUUAUUUUUAAUUACUUGAGGAAACUCCAUACUGUUUCCCAUAGUGGCAGCACCAAUUUACAUUCCCACCAAUGGUCCACAAGCCUUCCCUGUUCUCCAUGUUCUCACCAGUCUUUGUUAUUUGUCUUUUCUUUUAGAGGAGGAGAGGGGCAAAGUGAGAGGGAGAGAGAGAACCUUAAGCAAACUCCACACCCAGCGUGGAUCCCAACACGGGGCUCCAUACCACAACCCAGAGAUCAUGACUUGAGCCGAAAUCAAGAGUCAGAGGCUCAACAGACUGAGGCACCCAGGUGCCCCUAUCAUCCUGGUUUUGAUUUGCAUUUCCCUGAUGAUGAGUGACGUUGAGCAUCUUUGUCUGCUAGGCUAUCUGUAUGUCUUCUUUGGAGAAAUGUCUAUUCAGGUCCUCUGCCCAUUUUUUAAAUUAGAUUACUUGUUUUUUUUUUUUUACUUGUAUUUUUUUUUUUUAAGAUUUUAUUUGACAGAGAGAGAGAGAGAUCACAAGCUAGCAAAGAGGCAGGCAGAGAGAGAGGGGGAAGUAGGCUCCCCACCAAGCAGAGAGCCUGAUGUGGGACUCGAUCCCAGGACUCUGAGAUCAUGACCCGAGCCGAAGGCAGAGACUUAACCCCCUGAGCCACCCAGGCGCCCCAGAUUACUUGUAUUUUUUUGGUGUUGAGCUGUGCAAGUUGAAUUUGCCUAUCCCAGACACCUCAUCUGAGUGGAACCAUAUAAUAUCUGUCCUUUUGUGUCUGGCUUCUUUCACUUAACAUAAAAUUGUCAAGGUCCAUCCAUGUUUUAGUAUGUAUCAGAAUUGUAAUCUUUUUUAAUAGCUGAAUUAUAUAUAUAUAUACACACACACACAUAUAUAUAUUUUUUAAAUAUUUUGACAGAAAGAUAGACGAGAGAGAAUAUACAAGCAGAGGGAGUGGGAGAG